CCUACGGGAGGCAGCAGUGGGGAAUAUUGCACAAUGGGCGAAAGCCUGAUGCAGCAACGCCGCGUGAGGGAUGACGGCCUUCGGGUUGUAAACCUCUUUUAGCAGGGAAGAAGCGAAAGUGACGGUACCUGCAGAAAAAGCGCCGGCUAACUACGUGCCAGCAGCCGCGGUAAUACGUAGGGCGCAAGCGUUAUCCGGAAUUAUUGGGCGUAAAGAGCUCGUAGGCGGUUUGUCGCGUCUGCUGUGAAAUCCCGAGGCUCAACCUCGGGCCUGCAGUGGGUACGGGCAGACUAGAGUGCGGUAGGGGAGAUUGGAAUUCCUGGUGUAGCGGUGGAAUGCGCAGAUAUCAGGAGGAACACCGAUGGCGAAGGCAGAUCUCUGGGCCGUAACUGGCGCUGAGGAGCGAAAGGGUGGGGAGCAAACAGGCUUAGAUACCCUGGUAGUCCACCCCGUAAACGUUGGGAACUAGUUGUGGGGUCCAUUCCACGGAUUCCGUGACGCAGCUAACGCAUUAAGUUCCCCGCCUGGGGAGUACGGCCGCAAGGCUAAAACUCAAAGGAAUUGACGG
rnacentral:rRNA from 1 species